rnacentral:tRNA from 1 species
AAGUAAGAAGCAAAAUAAUUUGUGAUCAGUUUCGACCUGAUAGAUGAUUUAAUUACUAA